UUUGAAUAGUAAGUCAUUCAAUAAUCCAAAUUAUAUGAGAGGGUCUGAGAAAAAAAGGACAAGCCAACCACAGACGCCCUCUGAUCGAGCAGGGCACAGGAGUGAGAAGGCGACAGAGGAGGUCUCAGUCUCGCCCUGGGCACAGGGGAGAGAACUCUGGUCAGAGGUAAUUAUGUCACUGCGUUUUCUCGCCGUGACAGCCGAAUAAACACGAUCUCCAAUAAACAUCUCUAAUGAGGGAGGAGGCCCGAGGAUGACUGGGUUUGAUUUAUGACUGGAGAAGAAGGUCCACUUCCCACUGCGAAGCGGGCAACCUGCUUGCCGCCCAGCUCCAGAGGAAGGAAACCGCGGAGGAGAAAACCCAGGCCCAGGCUCUCAGAAAUUGAUACAACCCUAAUUUUGACAUAAAAUUGUGCUAAAGCACCUGCCAUGGAGGAACGUUCACCGGAAAGGUGUGUUAUCCACGCCUGAUCUAACGAAGAGAACAGGACUGUGGAUGGAGAAGACCCAGCGGCCUGAUACCUUUUCACGCUCCCAGGGAAGGAAAGUUUUCUUUUUGAUUCGUCCUCUCACUGUGUUUCUCUUUUCCUUGGCGGUACAGUUUCUGAGAGGAAUGUAAAUAUUUUGACUAGACCUCUGCAGGGGCCUUUUAAACACCAGGAGCGAUCAUCUGUGGAAUACUGUAGUUCAUAGUUUCAAAACUUGAAUGUGCAGAGUUUGUCUUGCUGAGGAAUCCCAUAGAAGUAGUGGCUACCACUCAGCUCCCUAUUCGUGUAACGAAGUAUUCUUUAGUGAUUGUCUGAGUUUUAAGGACUUUUUUCUGUUGCCGCUGCUUUCCAGUUGUUUACAGGGAAGGAAAAUCAAUCUAACAGGCGUUUGCUGGGGUUGUGGCAAAAUCCAAUUUCACCAUGCCUCACUUUUACCUCUUCUGUCUUUCCUCCUGUGGGGCAUAUGCACGAAGUGUGCAAAAGUAGAAAUCAUAUUUGAAAAAAUUAAAAUCCCAUUUAGCUCUUCUGUGUAUCUGAAGUGGGGAUUUCUUUGUUUUUCUGUUUCAGUAUUUAAGACAAAGCAGACAUGUUGAAACAAUGCAAAGUUAGAAAAACUAAAAUAAGGAAGAAAAUAAUGCUAAGGUUUUCCUAGUUUCUGUAGGUAAUACAAAUAAUAGAAUAUUUUCCCCCCUCCAAAAUGAAGAAGACAUGUCCAGACAUACACAUCACUGAAUGUGUAUUUUUCAAAAAAAUAUAUACCAAACAUUUUCCAAUAUUGAUGCACCUAUGAUUGCAUAGUCUGAAAAUAUUUCUAAACACAGUUACAGUAUAAAAACAUUGAUUUUAACUCUGUUUUUGUUGUUAUUAAAGUAUUAAUAUUCUUGAUUUUUUACACAUUUUCCCUGUUAAUGUCAGUUGUGGUCAUUUUAGGGCCUGGAUGUUCUAGGAAAACCAUGUAUAUAUAAUGUUCUCAUUUCUUUAUCCCAUUGUCCUACAGUGUAAUGAAUAUUUUACAUAAAACAUUUUGGGCAUCUUUAAGUCCUUUUCUAAAUUAAAUACCCCAUGUUUGUAACAUUGAACAUUUUUAUUUUGUUUAGAGCAAAUUCAUUUUAAUGAAAUAAAGCAUAAUAUUGAGAAUUUAAAACAGUCCUAUACAAUGCCCACAAACGUGUUUCAAAGCAGAAUAAAGAAAAUGUCGUUAGAACUGUCCAUAAUAGCGCUUGUGAUCCUAAUUUGUGUGCGUGUGUGUGUAUAGGAAACCUAAGUUUUUCAGCUAACAUUAUUCUGUUAUUUUGUUUUAUGUUUCUCUUAGAACAUCCACCUAUGCUCCGUCUCCCCAUAGCUUAUGUGUGUACAUGAAUUUCAGUAAAUACAAGUUACUGCUUAAAAGAGUAAAGAAUGGCUACUUUA